UUGCUCUGAUUUCUCACAUGCAAUCACUUCCCUAGGUUCUUCAAGGUGUUGUUCAUACUGGGUAGACGUUAGUUUUGAGGUUUCAACAUUGUAAGCCAAAGAAAAACUAAGGAAGGUCUUAAAGAGUUGCUGGAGGAGUAGUACGAGUUGCUAAGCAAGGGCUAAAUUCCUAAACACCAAAUUAAGUUGUUUUGCAGGAAUAAGCUGAAGGUCAAAGA